rnacentral:siRNA from 1 species
GCACCGCCGACCGACCUUG